AAGAAUAUUCCGCAAUGGGGGAACCCUGACGGAGCGACGCCGCGUGAACGAAGAAGGCCGGAAGGUUGUAAAGUUCUUUUCUGUCCGAGGAAUAAGUGUAGGAGGAAAUGCCUGCAUGGUGACGGUAGGGCAGGAAUAAGCACCGGCUAAUUACGUGCCAGCAGCCGCGGUAACACGUAAGGUGCGAGCGUUGUUCGGAAUUAUUGGGCGUAAAGGGCAUGCAGGCGGGUCGCCAAGCUUGGUAAGAAAUACCGGGGCUCAACUCCGGAGCUAUAUUGAGAACUGGCGAGCUAGAGUUGCCGAAGGGUAUCCGGAAUUCCGCGUGAAGGGGUGAAAUCUGUAGAUAUGCGGAAGAACACCGAUGGCGAAGGCAGGAUACCGGCGGACGACUGACGCUGAGGUGCGAAGGUGCGGGGAG
rnacentral:rRNA from 1 species